rnacentral:lncRNA from 1 species
CGGGGUGGAACUGGCUCUGCGUCCCCUGGCUCUGAGAUGUCCUCGCACAACCUCCUGCCUGUCUGGCUUCAGCCUGGUGAUGAACCACCCAGCCUGUGUCAACGAGAUCACCCUGAGCCUCAA